AGGAUGAACGCUGGCGGCGUGCUUAACACAUGCAAGUCGAACGAUGAAGGCUGGAGCUUGCUCUGGCUGGAUUAGUGGCGAACGGGUGAGUAACACGUGAGUAACCUGCCCCAGACUCUGGGAUAAGCGCUGGAAACGGCGUCUAAUACCGGAUACGAGCUUCCACCGCAUGGUGAGGAGCUGGAAAGAAUUUCGGCUGGGAUGGACUCGCGGCCUAUCAGCUUGUUGGUGAGGUAAUGGCUCACCAAGGCGACGACGGGUAGCCGGCCUGAGAGGGUGACCGGCACACUGGGACUGAGACACGG
rnacentral:rRNA from 1 species